UACGUAGGGUGCAAGCGUUGUCCGGAAUUAUUGGGCGUAAAGAGCUCGUAGGCGGUUUGUCGCGUCUGCUGUGAAAACGCGAGGCUCAACCUCGCGCCUGCAGUGGGUACGGGCAGACUAGAGUGCGGUAGGGGAGAUUGGAAUUCCUGGUGUAGCGGUGAAAUGCGCAGAUAUCAGGAAGAACACCGGUGGCGAAGGCGGGUCUCUGGGCCAUUACUGACGCUGAGGAGCGAAAGCGUGGGGAGCGAACAGG
rnacentral:rRNA from 1 species